rnacentral:rRNA from 1 species
UCGGGAACCGAGUAGAGUGGCGCACGGGUGAGUAACACGUAGGUAAUUUGCCUUUGGGUGGGGAAUAACUCAGGGAAACUUGAGCUAAUACCGCAUAAUGCAGCGGCUCGACAUCGAGACAGUUGUUAAAGCGGGGGAUUCGCAAGAACCUCGCGCCUGAAGAGAAGCCUGCGGCAGAUUAGCUAGUUGGCAGGGUAAUGGCCUACCAAGGCGACGAUCUGUAACCGGCCUGAGAGGGCGGUCGGUCACACUGACACUGACAUACGGGUCAGACUCCUACGGGAGGCAGCAGUCGGGAAUUUUGGGCAAUGGGCGAAAGCCUGACCCAGCAACGCCGCGUGAAGGAUGAAAUUUUUCGGAAUGUAAACUUCGCAAGAACAGGAAGAAUAAGUGGGGGACAAUACCCCCCAUGAUGACGGUACUGUUUGUAAGCUCCGGCUAACUCCGUGCCAGCAGCCGCGGUAAUACGGGGGGAGCAAGCGUUGUUCGGAUUUACUGGGCGUAAAGGGCGCGUAGGCGGCGUGACAAGUCACUUGUGAAAUCUCCGGGCUUAACUCGGAACGGUCAAGUGAUACUGUCGUGCUAGAGUACAGAAGGGGCAACUGGAAUUCUCGGUGUAGCGGUGAAAUGCGUAGAUAUCGAGAGGAACACCUGCGGCGAAGGCGGGUUGCUGGGCUGAUACUGACGCUGAGGCGCGAAAGCCAGGGGAGCGAACGGGAUUAGAUACCCCGGUAGUC